AUACGUAGGUGACAAGCGUUAUCCGGAUUUACUGGGCGUAAAGGGCGUGUAGGCGGUCUUGCAAGUCAGAAGUGAAAUUCCUGAGCUCAACUCGGGCGCUGCUUCUGAAACUGCAGGACUUGAGUGCUGGAGGGGAUAGCGGAAUUCCUAGUGGAGCGGUAAAAUGCGCAGAUAUUAGGAAGAACACCGGUGGAGAAGGCGGCUAUCUGGACAUCAACUGACGCUAAGGCUCGAAAGCGUGGGGAGCAAACAGGAUUAGAUACCCUGGUAGCCCACGCCGUAAGCGAUGAAUACUAGGUGUAGGGGGUAUCGACUCCCUCUGUGCCGCAGUUAACACAAUAAGUAUUCCGCCUGGGGAGUACGGCCGCAAGGUUGAAACUUAAAGGAAUUGACGGGG
rnacentral:rRNA from 1 species